rnacentral:rRNA from 1 species
GUCGUCAGCUCGUGUCGUGAGAUGUGGUUAAGUCCCGCAACGAGCGCAACCCCUAUUGUUAGUUGCCAUCAUUCAGUUGGGCACUCUAGCGAGACUGCCGGUAAUAAACCGGAGGAAGGUGGGGGAUGACGUCAAAUCAUCAUGCCCCUUAUGACCUGGGCUACACACGUGCUACAAUGGUUGGUACAACGAGUUGCGAGUCGGUGACGGCGAGCUAAUCUCUUAAAGCCAAUCUCAGUUCGGAUUGUAGGCUGCAACUCGCCUACAUGAAGUCGGAAUCGCUAGUAAUCGCGGAUCAGCACGCCCGCGGUCGAAUACGUUCCCGGGCCUU